AUUUUACUCCAUUCUGAUAGUGCCAAUAAAGCCAGAUUGUUAAUGUCAUUUGGGAGCUGCUUUUCUUGGAGCGAGGUGUUUCAAAACAAGGCCAGUCCUGCCAGAUAAAGGCAGGACAUGGAAAGUAGCUGGGGUUAGUAUGAUGUCCACAUAGCACAAAUCAUAACGAUGUCUCUGCUCUCAAGCAAUUUGUGCAGGUCAAACUUCAAGGAUG